GACGAACGCUGGCGGCGUGCCUAAUACAUGCAAGUCGAGCGGACGGAUGGGAGCUUGCUCCCAGCCCGUCAGCGGCGGACGGGUGAGUAACACGUGGGCAACCUGCCUGUAAGACUGGGAUAACUCCGGGAAACCGGGGCUAAUACCGGAUAACUCUUUCCCUCACAUGAGGGAAAGCUGAAAGAUGGCAUCUCGCUAUCACUUACAGAUGGGCCCGCGGCGCAUUAGCUAGUUGGUGAGGUAACGGCUCACCAAGGCGACGAUGCGUAGCCGACCUGAGAGGGUGAUCGGCCACACUGGGACUGAGACACGGCCCAGACUCCUACGGGAGGCAGCAGUAGUGAAUCUUCCGCAAUGGACGAAAGUCUGACGGAGCAACGCCGCGUGAGUGAUGAAGGUCUUCGGAUCGUAAAGCUCUGUUGUCAGGGAAGAACACGUACCGGAGUAACUGCCGGUCCAUUGACGGUACCUGCCCAGAAAGCCACGGCUAACUACGUG
rnacentral:rRNA from 1 species